rnacentral:rRNA from 1 species
GCGGAACACGUGUGCAACCUGCCUUUAUCUGAGGGAUAGCCUUUCGAAAGGAAGAUUAAUACCUCAUAAUAUACUGAUUGGCAUCAAUUGGUAUUGAAAGCUCCGGCGGAUAGAGAUGGGCACGCGCAAGAUUAGAUAGUUGGUGAGGUAACGGCUCACCAAGUCAAUGAUCUUUAGGGGGCCUGAGAGGGUGAUCCCCCACACUGGUACUGAGACACGGACCAGACUCCUACGGGAGGCAGCAGUGAGGAAUAUUGGACAAUGGGUGCAAGCCUGAUCCAGCCAUCCUGCGUGAAGGACGACGGCCCUAUGGGUUGUAAACUUCUUUUGUACAGGGAUAAACCUACCCUCGUGAGGGUAGCUGAAGGUACUGUACGAAUAAGCACCGGCUAACUCCGUGCCAGCAGCCGCGGUAAUACGGAGGGUGCAAGCGUUAUCCGGAUUUAUUGGGUUUAAAGGGUCCGCAGGCGGGCUAGUAAGUCAGUGGUGAAAGCCUACAGCUUAACUGUAGAACUGCCGUUGAUACUGCUAGUCUUGAGUAUAGUUGAGGUAGCUGGAAUGAGUAGUGUAGCGGUGAAAUGCAUAGAUAUUACUCAGAACACCGAUUGCGAAGGCAGGUUACCAAGUUAUAACUGACGCUGAGGGACGAAAGCGUGGGGAGCGAACAGGAUUAGAUACCCUGGUAGUCCACGCCGUAAACGAUGCUAACUCGUUUUUGGGCUUUAGGGUUCAGAGACUAAGCGAAAGUGAUAAGUUAGCCACCUGGGGAGUACGACCGCAAGGUUGAAACUCAAAGGAAUUGACGGGGGCCCGCACAAGCGGUGGAUCAUGUGGUUUAAUUCGAUGAUACGCGAGGAACCUUACCAAGGCUUAAAUGGGAAUUGACAGCUGUAGAAAUACGGUUUUCUUCGGACAAUUUUCAAGGUGCUGCAUGGUUGUCGUCAGCUCGUGCCGUGAGGUGUUAGGUUAAGUCUUGCAACGAGCGCAACCCCUGUCACUAGUUGCCAUCAUUAAGUUGGGGACUCUAGUGAGACUGCCUACGCAAGUAGCGAGGAAGGUGGGGAUGACGUCAAAUCAUCACGGCCCUUACGCCUUGGGCCACACACGUGAUACAAUGGCCGGUACAGAGGGCAGCUACACUGCGAAGUGAUGCAAAUCUCGAAAGCCGGUCUCAGUUCGGAUUGGAGUCUGCAACUCGACUCUAUGAAGCUGGAAUCGCUAGUAAUCACACAUCAGCCAUAACGCAAUGAAUAC